rnacentral:lncRNA from 1 species
AUUUCUUCUGCCGGGACCACGCAUCGCCUCCCGUACAACGAUACGCAUACGACGCCUUAUUGAAAAGGAAACGUGCAAUUUUAUAUCUGCCCCCUUCUUUUAAGCCACCAUUUGGUUCGGGGUUAAGAAAAAAGUAGCUAUUCCAGGGAUAUGAUUAAGUUCAGGGCUAAAGUGAGGUUAAAAUUUUUUUGUGUUUGGUUGGGGGUUGGAGUUAGUCUAGAAUAUUGAAAAAUAGUAUUUGGUU